AUUGAACGCUGGCGGCAUGCCUUACACAUGCAAGUCGAACGGCAGCACGGGAGCAAUCCUGGUGGCGAGUGGCGAACGGGUGAGUAAAGUAUCGGAACGUACCUUUCAGUGGGGGAUAACGUAGCGAAAGUUACGCUAAUACCGCAUAUUCUGUGAGCAGGAAAGCAGGGGAUCGCAAGACCUUGCGCUGAUUGAGCGGCCGAUAUCAGAUUAGCUAGUUGGUGGGGUAAAGGCCUACCAAGGCGACGAUCUGUAGCGGGUCUGAGAGGAUGAUCCGCCACACUGGAACUGAGACACGGUUCAGACUCCUACGGGAGGCAGCAGUGGGAAAUUUGGACAAUGGGGGCAACCCUGAUCCAGCCAUGCCGCGUGAGUGAAGAAGGCCUGCGGGUUGUAAAGCUCUUUCGGCCGGGACGAAAUCGCACGGGCUAAUAUCCUGUGUGGAUGACUGUACCGGAAUAAGCACCGGCUAACUCUGUGCCAGCAGCCG
rnacentral:rRNA from 1 species